GUGUCAGCAGCCGCGUAAUACCGGCAGCCCAAGUGAUGGCCGAUCUUAUUGGGCCUAAAGCGUCCGUAGCUGGCCGCACAAGUCCAUCGGGAAAUCCACCUGCCCAACAGGUGGGCGCCCGGUAGAAACUGCGUGGCUUGGGACCGGAAGGCGCGACGGGUACGUCCGGGGUAGGAGUGAAAUCCCGUAAUCCUGGACGGACCGCCGAUGGCGAAAGCACGUCGCGAGAACGGAUCCGACAGUGAGGGACGAAAGCCAGGGUCUCGAACCGGAUUAGAUACCCCUGUAGUC
rnacentral:rRNA from 1 species